rnacentral:rRNA from 1 species
AUGAGGGCCACCGAGAUGUUGACCGCCGCGGCGGGGGCUGCCGCCGGGACGACGCCCUCCACGGCCUCGGUGGCCGGCCUGGCCGGGGCCAGCGGGGGCGGCCCCGCCGCGGGCGCCGGCGGGAACUUCCCCCUCGGCGCCGCCCUCCUCGCCUUCGCCUUCGCCAACCUCGUCAACGUCCUCUCCAUCUGGUUAAAGGAGAAGAAAUGGGAUGCAAGGAAAUUUCUUACUUCUUCUGGAGUUAUUUCAUCUCUUUCUGCGGCGGUGGCAAGUUUGGCUGUGGCGGUUGGCCAACAAGAAGGCGGAGAUAGCUCUGUUUUCGCCCUUGCAUUGGUUUUUGCUGCCGUUGUAAUGUAUGAUGCAUCAGGAGUUAGGUUUCACACAGGCCGCCAAGCUGCGUUGUUAAAUCAAAUAGUUUCUGAUUUAUCACCGGAACAUCCAAUUAUCUCUACCUUCCGGCCGCUUCGGGAACCUCUUGGACACAGUCCAUUUCAGGUUUUUGUUGGAGCGCUUGUUGGUUGUACAAUAGCAUAUUUAAUGGGGAGAUCUGUAUGA